UACGUAGGGUGCAAGCGUUGUCCGGAAUUAUUGGGCGUAAAGAGCUCGUAGGCGGUCUGUCGCGUCGGCUGUGAAAACCCGGGGCUCAACCCCGGGCCUGCAGUCGAUACGGGCAGACUAGAGUGUGGUAGGGGAGACUGGAAUUCCUGGUGUAGCGGUGAAAUGCGCAGAUAUCAGGAGGAACACCGGUGGCGAAGGCGGGUCUCUGGGCCGAUACUGACGCUGAGGAGCGAAAGCGUGGGGAGCGAACAGG
rnacentral:rRNA from 1 species